rnacentral:rRNA from 1 species
GGUUAAGCGACUAAGCGUACACGGUGGAUGCCCUGGCAGUCAGAGGCGAUGAAGGACGUGCUAAUCUGCGAUAAGCGUCGGUAAGGUGAUAUGAACCGUUAUAACCGGCGAUUUCCGAAUGGGGAAACCCAGUGUGUUUCGACACACUAUCAUUAACUGAAUCCAUAGGUUAAUGAGGCGAACCGGGGGAACUGAAACAUCUAAGUACCCCGAGGAAAAGAAAUCAACCGAGAUUCCCCCAGUAGCGGCGAGCGAACGGGGAGCAGCCCAGAGCCUGAAUCAGUGUGUGUGUUAGUGGAAGCGUCUGGAAAGGCGCGCGAUACAGGGUGACAGCCCCGUACACAAAAAUGCACAUGCUGUGAGCUCGAUGAGUAGGGCGGGACACGUGGUAUCCUGUCUGAAUAUGGGGGGACCAUCCUCCAAGGCUAAAUACUCCUGACUGACCGAUAGUGAACCAGUACCGUGAGGGAAAGGCGAAAAGAACCCCGGCGAGGGGAGUGAAAAAGAACCUGAAACCGUGUACGUACAAGCAGUGGGAGCACGCUUAGGCGUGUGACUGCGUACCUUUUGUAUAAUGGGUCAGCGACUUAUAUUCUGUAGCAAGGUUAACCGAAUAGGGGAGCCGAAGGGAAACCGAGUCUUAACUGGGCGUUAAGUUGCAGGGUAUAGACCCGAAACCCGGUGAUCUAGCCAUGGGCAGGUUGAAGGUUGGGUAACACUAACUGGAGGACCGAACCGACUAAUGUUGAAAAAUUAGCGGAUGACUUGUGGCUGGGGGUGAAAGGCCAAUCAAACCGGGAGAUAGCUGGUUCUCCCCGAAAGCUAUUUAGGUAGCGCCUCGUGAAUUCAUCUCCGGGGGUAGAGCACUGUUUCGGCAAGGGGGUCAUCCCGACUUACCAACCCGAUGCAAACUGCGAAUACCGGAGAAUGUUAUCACGGGAGACACACGGCGGGUGCUAACGUCCGUCGUGAAGAGGGAAACAACCCAGACCGCCAGCUAAGGUCCCAAAGUCAUGGUUAAGUGGGAAACGAUGUGGGAAGGCCCAGACAGCCAGGAUGUUGGCUUAGAAGCAGCCAUCAUUUAAAGAAAGCGUAAUAGCUCACUGGUCGAGUCGGCCUGCGCGGAAGAUGUAACGGGGCUAAACCAUGCACCGAAGCUGCGGCAGCGACGCUUAUGCGUUGUUGGGUAGGGGAGCGUUCUGUAAGCCUGCGAAGGUGUGCUGUGAGGCAUGCUGGAGGUAUCAGAAGUGCGAAUGCUGACAUAAGUAACGAUAAAGCGGGUGAAAAGCCCGCUCGCCGGAAGACCAAGGGUUCCUGUCCAACGUUAAUCGGGGCAGGGUGAGUCGACCCCUAAGGCGAGGCCGAAAGGCGUAGUCGAUGGGAAACAGGUUAAUAUUCCUGUACUUGGUGUUACUGCGAAGGGGGGACGGAGAAGGCUAUGUUGGCCGGGCGACGGUUGUCCCGGUUUAAGCGUGUAGGCUGGUUUUCCAGGCAAAUCCGGAAAAUCAAGGCUGAGGCGUGAUGACGAGGCACUACGGUGCUGAAGCAACAAAUGCCCUGCUUCCAGGAAAAGCCUCUAAGCAUCAGGUAACAUCAAAUCGUACCCCAAACCGACACAGGUGGUCAGGUAGAGAAUACCAAGGCGCUUGAGAGAACUCGGGUGAAGGAACUAGGCAAAAUGGUGCCGUAACUUCGGGAGAAGGCACGCUGAUAUGUAGGUGAAGUCCCUCGCGGAUGGAGCUGAAAUCAGUCGAAGAUACCAGCUGGCUGCAACUGUUUAUUAAAAACACAGCACUGUGCAAACACGAAAGUGGACGUAUACGGUGUGACGCCUGCCCGGUGCCGGAAGGUUAAUUGAUGGGGUUAGCGCAAGCGAAGCUCUUGAUCGAAGCCCCGGUAAACGGCGGCCGUAACUAUAACGGUCCUAAGGUAGCGAAAUUCCUUGUCGGGUAAGUUCCGACCUGCACGAAUGGCGUAAUGAUGGCCAGGCUGUCUCCACCCGAGACUCAGUGAAAUUGAACUCGCUGUGAAGAUGCAGUGUACCCGCGGCAAGACGGAAAGACCCCGUGAACCUUUACUAUAGCUUGACACUGAACAUUGAGCCUUGAUGUGUAGGAUAGGUGGGAGGCUUUGAAGUGUGGACGCCAGUCUGCAUGGAGCCGACCUUGAAAUACCACCCUUUAAUGUUUGAUGUUCUAACGUUGACCCGUGAUCCGGGUUGCGGACAGUGUCUGGUGGGUAGUUUGACUGGGGCGGUCUCCUCCUAAAGAGUAACGGAGGAGCACGAAGGUUGGCUAAUCCUGGUCGGACAUCAGGAGGUUAGUGCAAUGGCAUAAGCCAGCUUGACUGCGAGCGUGACGGCGCGAGCAGGUGCGAAAGCAGGUCAUAGUGAUCCGGUGGUUCUGAAUGGAAGGGCCAUCGCUCAACGGAUAAAAGGUACUCCGGGGAUAACAGGCUGAUACCGCCCAAGAGUUCAUAUCGACGGCGGUGUUUGGCACCUCGAUGUCGGCUCAUCACAUCCUGGGGCUGAAGUAGGUCCCAAGGGUAUGGCUGUUCGCCAUUUAAAGUGGUACGCGAGCUGGGUUUAGAACGUCGUGAGACAGUUCGGUCCCUAUCUGCCGUGGGCGCUGGAGAACUGAGGGGGGCUGCUCCUAGUACGAGAGGACCGGAGUGGACGCAUCACUGGUGUUCGGGUUGUCAUGCCAAUGGCACUGCCCGGUAGCUAAAUGCGGAAGAGAUAAGUGCUGAAAGCAUCUAAGCACGAAACUUGCCCCGAGAUGAGUUCUCCCUGACUCCUUGAGAGUCCUGAAGGAACGUUGAAGACGACGACGUUGAUAGGCCGGGUGUGUAAGCGCAGCGAUGCGUUGAGCUAACCGGUACUAAUGAACCGUGAGGCUUAACCUU